UCCCUCAUCGCUCAGUCAGUAAAGCAUCUGCCUGCAAUGCAGGAGACCUGGGUUUGAUUCCUGGGUUGGGAG
rnacentral:tRNA from 1 species